rnacentral:rRNA from 1 species
CAGUAGCCGCGGUAAUACGUAGGGGGCAAGCGUUAUCCGGAUUUACUGGGUGUAAAGGGAGCGCAGACGGCAGUGCAAGUCUGAAGUGAAAGGCGUGGGCUCAACCCAUGAACUGCUUUGGAAACUGUAUAGCUUGAGUGUCGGAGGGGUAAGCGGAAUUCCUAGUGUAGCGGUGAAAUGCGUAGAUAUUAGGAGGAACACCGGAGGCGAAGGCGGCUUACUGGACGACAACUGACGUUGAGGCUCGAAGGCGUGGGGAGCAAACAGGAUUAGAUACCCCUGUAGUCCCUGUCUCUUAUAC